AGUUGAAACUGACAGCAAACUGAGAGAGAUUACCAAUAUAAAUAGGGUGUAGCGGAUAUUCUUCCACAAGCCUGCACUGGUUUGUAUGGUUUAUUCAGCAAUAAGAUCAGGUGAAAAAGGAGUUGCCAAACCCUUAUGAAUGCAUACAUGCAAGUUAUGAUAGGUUAUGAUGUUAAGAAGGCAUACAAAUGGCAUCAAUGAUGUUACUCAUAAUGAAACCCAUCAGUCAGACAACAACAGGCUGAGAGUCCUGAUUUCAAGAGUACAAUUAUCACUAGGAAUCAUAUUGACCUGAUCAAUAAUCUUCUGGGAAUGAAUGUAUGGAUGCGAAAUUCUGGUUGAAAUAUUUCUGAAAAAAA